GAGAGGUGCCGUCCCAGCGGACAGCCGGGUGUCCCAUGGCUGCCACCCGGCAGAGGCUGCGCUGCUGCCGCCUCCAGGGGCUGUGAGGUGGAGUUCAUGGGCACGAACAGGAGCCCCCAGCCGAGCCUGUGGCAUCCACGGCUGCCUUGGCUGCUCUUCGGGUGCCGACUGGUUCUCCCAAGACUUGGUGUGAGCGGGAAGCGGCCGCAGGAGUGAAGUGAAGGUGAAGAGCAGUGGAAAAGAUGACUUGCUUUGCUGUUGUCUGGAUGGGCAAAAGGAGAAUUAUCUCUCUGAAAGAUGACAGGUACAACAACUGGAAUUUUUCCAAAAUGUCCCUUCUGAGGAAGUAUUUGGCUUAUAUUUCAUCUCAAAUUCAAAGCUGGAGCCUUUGCAGCAGCUGAGGUCCUGGGGUUCCACACAACCUCAAACACUUCGUGCACUGUGUCAUGAACAGAGAGGUCAGAGCUGAUCCAACUGCUGUCUGGCUACAAACAACACCCGGCAAACCUGUUUAAAUGAUAGCCUGAUUAACGCAAACUGCAUCUUUAUCUUAUUUGGCCUCUGUUGGUGUUAAGUAAAAGCAAGUGACAUCUGAAAGACUUUAUCAUGAAGCUUGGAAACAUCUUUUCAUAUGGUCAGUAUACCCCAAGGAGAAUAAAGCACAAUCCAGCAGCUGUCAGCAAGUAAAAGGAAACAGAAGUUUUAUACUAAAAAUAUCUAGACCAUAAAAAACUUUAUCUUGUUUACUUACAAAGCCAGAAUUCUAGCAUAAAGCUGCCAUCUCUAUCACACACAUCCAAACUCUCUGGAGAGGAGGCCUUGCUUCCCCUCUCAUAAAACUUUUGAACCAUUUUCUACAUAGAAAAAUCCACAAUAAAAAGCUUUCUGUCUAUUCACAAUUUUUAUUCCAAUUAGAGGCAGCAGCUCUUCAGAUCAGUGGCCUUGGUGGUUCUGGGAAACAGUUAAUUCAAGACAAACUGCUGCAAGUAAAACCACAUUUGCCGUCAUGUCCUUGGAUUUUCUCAGAUGAAUCCAUGUAACUGGAACAUAAUUAUAUUAAUACCUGAAGUUUCUAGACCACAGGAUUAGGAAAGCAUCUCACAGACUGCAGGCUGGGUUUAAGUGGAAGAUGCUGUGCCUACUUCUCAUUGGAACAUAUUUACAUUAAAUAAGUCAUCCCAAAAUGUUUAAGUAUAUGUACUGGAUGGCAGUUGAGGGCUUCAGGAUCCAUUCAGGAUGGAAUUAAUAACAUUAAUGUAAAUCUAACACAUCACUAUCAGCCUUGAAUCACUGUCUUGAACAAGGCAGAUAACCCAUCUCCUCCCAGCCUGUUUACGUAAAACUGCAGAUGUAUUUGUACAGUCUUGCCCUGGCUUAGAGGCAGGAAUGCGAAGCGUACGUGAUGAAUAACCCAAAUUCCAGUGAACGUGUAGAAAGGAUUUGUCAUCUGCCCACAGACUGUGGCCCAGAGGCUGCUCCAAGUGAGCUCCCUCGUGCUGCUCAGAGGUAAUGGGGAGGGAGGAGGAGGACGGGAGGGAGAAGGAGAAACAGAUGGAAAAAUCCUUCACACGUAAAAUGCAUCGUAAUCGCUGAAAGAAGAGACAUUGAAAAGUAUUUUCUUGAUACAUCUACAGAAAUACCACUGAGAUAAAAAUCUACUGCAGCUAGCUUUCUGAAUCAUGUAACUGAAGUAUGCAGCAUGUUUACAAAUGUCACAUCCCAUUAUGUCCUCUGUCUGGCUCUUACCGUUAUGUACAUUUUGGUCUCCAGCAAACUGAGGAUUUGCUUCGUGGUUUUAAAUAUAAAAUCAGAUGAUAGGCACAUGGGGCUCUGAAGAGCUCCUGUACAUUUAUGAGUUAUGAGGAAGCCCCUGGCGUGUGUCAGAUGCGCCAGAAGUGGUGAGGAGAGGAGCCCGGAAUUGCCAAAUCAAAAGAUUCAGCUUAGUGACAAAUGCCGGUCCCUUCCAAAAUACUUUCCGCGUGAUCUCGGCGCUGUGGACAGUCCCAAGAGAGGAGCUGCCCCUGUCGGAGCCAAACCCCUCCUGGAGGCAGCGCUGAGCUGGAUCCUGUAGACUAAUCUAGAAGAUCUAUUAAAGAGACCUUUUUGGCUCCCUGCAUUCCAGCUUUGUCACCCAGGGAAGGUGGCAGUUGCCUGUGGUCCAACAGAGGUCGGGCUUCUUUCAUUUUUUUAAUUAGAAGAACAGAAACCCCAUCUUAUGAAUCAAGGCAUUUGAGACCACCCUCCCCGCUGUGGAAGAGCCGCCUGAGUGGGAGUUCAGUUUUUCUAACUUAAAAAAGUGAAAGGCAGAAAUGAUGGAGAGGUAAAUCCAGGACAACCUUGACCACCACACUGUAAAGAACUUAUUUAUCUGUAGAAAUAUUUUUGUAAGGUCUGAAAAUUUAUUUCCAAAAAGGCUGGAUUAAAAAAAAAAAAAUCCACGUGAGUGUUCUUUCCAGCAUCACUUCACUUGUAUCCAUUUGCCGUCUGAGGACACAGAAGGGGAAAGAGCUGCUCAGCAACACUGUUCAGAACUGUGAGUUGUCCCACUAGUCAUAAAGAACAAUAAAGGUUUGAUUUAUAUUACCAAAA